rnacentral:rRNA from 1 species
GAUGAACGCUAGCUACAGGCUUAACACAUGCAAGUCGAGGGGUAACGAGAGGGAAGCUUGCUUUCCUUGUCGACGACCGGCGCACGGGUGAGUAACGCGUAUCCAACCUGCCCCCAACUAAGGAAUAACCUUGCGAAAGUAAGACUAAUACCCUAUAAUUUCCUCAGAUGACAUCUGACGAGGAAUAAAGAUUUAUCGGUUGUGGAUGGGGAUGCGUCUGAUUAGCUUGUUGGCGGGGUAACGGCCCACCAAGGCAACGAUCAGUAGGGGUUCUGAGAGGAAGGUCCCCCACAUUGGAACUGAGACACGGUCCAAACUCCUACGGGAUGCAGCAGUGAGGAAUAUUGGUCAAUGGGCGGAAGCUUGAACCAGCCAAGUAGCGUGCAGGAUGACGGCCCUAUGGGUUGUAAACUGCUUUUAUACAGGAAUAAAGUUAGCCACGUGUGGUUAUUCGUAGGUACUGUAUGAAUAAGGACCGGCUAAUUCCGUGCCAGCCGCCGCAGUAA